UACGGGGGGAGCAAGCGUUGUUCGGAUUUACUGGGCGUAAAGGGCGCGUAGGCGGUCGUGACAAGUCACUUGUGAAAUCUCCGGGGCUUAACUCGGAACGGUCAAGUGAUACUGUCGGACUAGAGUACAGAAGGGGCAACUGGAAUUCUCGGUGUAGCGGUGAAAUGCGUAGAUAUCGAGAGGAACACCAAUGGCGAAGGCAGCACUCUGGGGACGUGACUGACGCUGAGACGCGAAAAGCGUGGGGAGCAAACAGG
rnacentral:rRNA from 1 species